GGGGAGGGUAGCUCAGGAAUGACCAUCGCCCAGCCCUGUGACCCGAGCCACUGCGCGAAUAGACAAGAGAGCUGCAUCGAUCGCCCCGGGAAAGUGUCCCUGCAUCCUGGUCACCGGCUAGCAGCCGCAGUGAUGCCGGCAGGGCCACCGACCCACCGGGCUAUCCGCGCGUCCGGGAGACCACCGCGUACCGCGGCACUCUGGUGCCUGAAACCCUUGCCGGUCCGACCCAGCCCGGCUAGCUCACCUCUCAGCUCCGAAGGAUGGGGGUUCGCGUGUGCACCAUCCGGGUAAGCUCCUUUUCUGCUCUCCUCACCAGGCAAGCAUCCCCAGUUGGCGCGCCCCAGGGCUCUUGUGGGAGGGCCUGGGCCCCGCCUCUAGAGCCCAGCCCCCUCAGGUUCUGUCCCCUCCUACCAGCCCAGGUGUGUUCCCGAGCCCGCCGAGAACUGGCGACCAGCCCAGAGCAGGCCACGACUCCGCAGCGCCACCUGCCGUCCCGAAGCAAGCUCUGCGCCCCAGCUGGGCUGGUCCUGAGCCGUUCUAGGUGGCAAAGCGAGGGCCUGCUGCCGCCCGAAGGCCACCCUGCACCUUGCAUUCCCCUGGGUCUCGGUAGCACCUCCCACAAGGCACCUCGCAACCCCUCCUGCUGCUCUGUUACUGACCCGGGCCUUUCCUUCUGCUCCAGAUCACAGGUGCCUUCCUGCCCCAGCACCAGCAGGAAUCUCACUCAGUCUUUUGUCCCCCAUCCCCUGAGCAUUGCUCCUGACUUGCACCGUGAGGCUGCUUUAACCAGGCCACCCAUCCUUUGGUCUGAUCAAGUGCCUUUUUGUAAGGGACUCAGGCAGAUAACCAACAGAAAUGAGUUUGAAAAUUGCAACUGGGAGGAACCACAUUGAGAUCCUUCGGCCACUGUCCCUUUUGAGUCGGGAAGAAUUGAGACCCCAGGAGGGGAAGGGGUCUGUUCUCACAGAGAGCUUCUCAGAUGCACGGUCACCUACUGAUGUCUUGUUAAAAUGCAGGGGUAGGGUGGUUCUUGAGAGUCUGGGUGUCUGACUUCCCAGGAGAUGCCUCUGUUGAUGGCCCAAGAUGACACUUGGAGCCGCAAGGGUUACUUACUGGCCCGGGUGGUGGAAACAAGCCCAGCAUUACUGGAGGGCAGCUUAAAGAAAAUCUUUAAAAACUCCACCGUUUUUUCUUACAAUAUAUGCUCAUUGUGAAGAAUUUAAAUGGUAAUCCACAUCCCCCACUAAAUAAGCACUGUUAACAGUAAGGUUAUUAUUUUGUAUAUAUACCUACACACAUGUAUACUGUGUAUAUAUAUGAAUGCGUGUGUGUUAAAGAUAGGAUUUUGAAAUAUAUGUUGUUCCUAAAUUUCUGAAGUUUGUUUUGAAGAUUAUACAUCAUAUUUUUCCUCAAUGUAAAAUGAAGUCUGUUUUUUCACCUCAUGAUACAUUAUAGGCAACUUUUCCUUACUUAAAAUGUACAUUUGCUUAAGUAUUCCAUUCACAUAAUUGAAUUGAUUUAUUAAUACAUGUAUUGCCUCCAGUUUUUACCAAUAUAUUCUCUGCAUAAAAUCUUCAUUUAUA
rnacentral:lncRNA from 1 species